AGCGGCUUACACGCCCGGGUGCGCGCGGGCCCAGAGGGGCGGGGCACGGGCCCGUGGGCGCCUGAAGUUGGCGGGAAAGGAGGCGGGCCCCGAAGUAGUGAGCGCUCCCCUGAAAGCGUAAAGCCAGGGAGGAAAGGCAAGCCCCUGAAUUUGGGGAGCAGUGGUCUUAGGGACCUGCGGCCGGAUUUAACUGAGGGAAAAUUCACAAACGUAGAAAGUUCUGGUUGAGCAUUCUCUGUGAAGAGCGCUGUUGGGACUGCUGUCGAACUUGGAAGAGCUUUGCUGUGACGCUGAGAAUCAGAUGUAGAAUGUGCAGAGGAGCUUGGCUUUAUAAACAGAAAAGGAAUGAUGAAAGCAGAAGCAAAGACCAAAAAGCAGAUUGGUAUUUUCAAAGUCAUUUUCCUUGCAAAGGAAAAAGGACUUCCUUAUUAAGCCAAAUGACUUCCUUAUUAGGCUGGCUCAGAUCACUGAAAAUGAUUGACUCUCAAAGUCAAAUAUACUGGAUAACCCUCUGUUCAUCCAUCAUCACAUCUCCCAAUUCCUGAAGCUGGUAGGUAAGGAAAUACUGAUUUAAUAAAAAGUACUCAACAAAUAUUUUCUAUAUUAAUGAAUGAGUGAUGGCUCUUAUGAAAUAAGUAUCCUUUGGUUAAAGACUGAAGAAUAGGAGCAGCAGGACUAAACCUUGGAAAGAAUGUUGGAUAAGACUACAAGUUCAAAUGUUUUAGGGCAGGUUCAGAAUGAAAUGAACCUGUUGUGAGAAUGGGGAUCCCCAAAUUAUGUAGUGGGGAUUGAAAACCCUGGCUGGGCUUGGAGAGACCCUAGGCUAGACUUAUUCUAGGUUGGUGUCUUUCUGCAUUUAAGAAUAAAACCAGGAGAUGUAGAUAGAGCAGUAAACUAAGACUUACUGAAAGCCAAAUGGAUAGUAUACACACAGACAUGAGUACAGGAAACCUCAAGAGAGAAUUGCUAGGCAAAGAGGUAGUACACACUCAAACAUGAGUGUGGGCAGCCUUAAAACACAAUUGCCCUCACACAGGCUCUGGUCAUCCUUUAUAGGGAGGGUGUUGUGCUCAGGGCAGGCUUUAUUGAAGAUCCAAAGGAGAUGGUAUUUGGGGUUGUGCUGCAGUGUACAUGUUCAUCUCCAAGGUGUUAUGGCAUCUGGAGUUUGAUGGAAAUUGAAGUUUAGCUACAUGAUAAAGAGUGGGUAUUCCAUGCCAUUUUCAACCAUGUUGAAUUGGCAUAGAAUUUGGUAUUUGGGUAUUUGGGUGUUGUUGGUAGUCUUUAGCUUCUUAUGCCUUCCUCACUCCCUGCCUCACCCACAUCAAACCCAGCCAGGGGUAAAUCUUCUAUCUGGGUGGUGAAUGGUAUGGUUUGUGCUCCAUUCCUACUAGCUCCUAUAAGGCUAGUGUAGCCACUUGUUCCCAUGCAAAUAUGGGAACAUAUAAAUCCUUGCCAUUUUCAAACCAAAUAUCUAGAAUGUAGCAUGUUAACUUUUUAUUCUUUUCUAAUUGUAUAAAUUGAAUAAAAUACAUCUUUGUGUAGAAUUUGGUUUUAGUACUGUUUGUUUGUGCCCCUGGUCUAAUUCUCAUUCCAUUAAUUGAAAAUUUGUUAGGGUAAAUUAGUUCUCAUCAGAUAAAUAAUAAUGAAAGCAUUAACCUCCUCUUUGUCAAUUUUGAAGCAAAGGAUUUUAUUACAACUGUAUUUCUGCAUCUAUCAGCUUCAUGAAUUGGCACAUUUGAGAGUGUGAUAAACAGAGCCUUACCUAGCAUACUGACUUUUAGUGGAUUAUUUUAACUCCCCACUUCUGAAUAAGACAGAAUUAUUUUUUUAACAAUUUUAAUGGAGUAAAAUUAGUAAUAUCAAAAAAGGCAAUGACAACAGUGAAGAUGUAUUUUCCAUGAAAUUUAGUGGUCAUGCCAAUUAACAACUGUAAAUCAUUUGUUACUUUCUGUCUUUUUUAUAGUAGCCAUUAUUACUGGGGUGAGGUAAUAGCUCAUUGUGGUUUUGACUUUUAUUUCCCUUAUGGCUAGUGAUAUUCAGCAUUUUUUUCAUAAAUUUGUUGGCUAUUUGUAUAUCUUCUUUUGAGAAAUAUCUAUCCAGUGUUGAGCCUUUAUCAGUUGUGUAGUUGUAGUUGGUGGGUUUUCUGUUUUCUGUCGGUUGCCCCUUCAUUUUGCUGAGUGCUUCUUUUGCAGUGCAGAGGCUUUUCAUCUUGAUGUAAUCCCAUUUGUCAAGUAAAGUUUUCUUGUCUGAGUAUAUUACAAAAAAAAAGAAAUAUCUAUCCAGGACUCCAAGUAUAAAGUAGUGGCAAAGGAAAAUUUUGGUUAUCCUGAUUAGUUCAGUACAGAUUGUGUGUGUGUGUGUGUGUGUGUGUAUAAAUGUCACAAUAUAGCCAAUAAAGACAUACAAAUAUUGUUAAUAAAUUUUUUAAAAAUUUAAAACAUCACUAAAUUCAUAGAAGAACCAUAUCUUACCUCUGACAAUGAAAAAGUAAGAAACUGAUAAUGUUUAAUUACUUUAAUGUAACUUUUUUCAAUAAAAGGGAAAAAUAGCAUCUAUAUACUGAUAAUUCACUAACUUAAUAACAUUACAGUUUGCAAAUUUGUCAAUGGCUACAUCAUAAUAGAUUUUUGCAUAUUUAAAUUCAUUGGCAGAUAUACCCUGUUUAUCUGUCUUUCCUCAUAUUCAAAGAACACUUUUUAAUUUUAAUAUCAUUGUUGAUGCAGAGCAGCAGUUACACAAAAAAGAAAAAAAUUUAAGUUUGGCAGAUAUUGGUAAAAAUCUCAUUUCACAUUAAAUUCCAGAUAGUCAAAUAUGCUUCAUGUAUUUCUUUCAUUAGAAUUGAUUCCAGUAGGUUUCAAAUGUCUCAGCAGUCAAAAAAAUUAACAUAAAUAAAAACUCCAAGUGGCUACAUAGAAUGACAGAAUUGAAAUCGCAAGUUCUAUUUCUUCAUCUUUACAAUCGCAAUGCUGUCACUGCUUAUUUAAAAUCUACAGUUUAAAUGUGGAAAAAACAUGUAGUUCUGCAGUUGAAGGCAGAGAUUGUACCCAAGCACACUGAAAAGAUUCCUAAUGGUAUUAAAUUUCUCUGAAUUUUUCUUCGUAUAGAAAACAAUGUUUAAUAAAGGAUAAAUAGUUUUUAAAGAGUUCUAAUUUAAAGUGUAAAAAUACAUUAUUUUUUAAGGGAAAGGGCAAACACAUUAUUAAAACUCAGGAGUAGCAUAUUAAUUAUUUUAAAUGUAUCCCAUGAAAGAUUUUUUUCUUGUGGCAGUAUGUAAUCAUUGACCUUGAUUAAA